rfam:Cuculus canorus isolate BGI_N303 unplaced genomic scaffold scaffold25, whole genome shotgun sequence.
GCAGGCUGAAAAUCACCUGGGGUCUCUGUGGCCCCCGGUGAGGUGACUGUGCCAACAGUAUAGGGAACAUAAAGCUUAUUCCUCACAGACACGGGUGGGGAGUGAAACCCAUGUUCCUAUAAGC